CCGCAAUCGCCCUUCGGGGUGCACCAGGCGCGAAAACUCUACAAUGCAGGCAACUGCGAUAGGGGAACAUCGAGUGAUCCUCAUAUUGGGGGUCUGUCCACCCGUCUAAAAAACGGGUGUUAGCAAGGGCCGGGCAAGACCGGUGCCAGCCGCCGCGGUAAUACCGGCGGCUCGAGUGGUGGCCGAUAUUAUUGAGUCUAAAGGGUCCGUAGCCGGCUUUGCAAGUCUCUCGGGAAAUCCAGCGGCUUAACCGUUGGUCGUCCGGGGGGUACUACAUUGCUUGGGACUGGGAGAGGUAGGAGGUACUCAGGGGGUAGGAGUGAAAUCCUGUAAUCCUUUGGGGACCACCGGUGGCGAAGGCGUCCUACCAGAACAGGUCCGACGGUGAGGGACGAAAGCUAGGGGCACGAACCGGAUUAGAUACCCGGGUAGUCCUAGCCGUAAACGAUGCUCGCUAGGUGUCACAACAGUCGUGAACUGUUGUGGUGCCGUAGGGAAGCCGUGAAGCGAGCCACUUGGGAAGUACGACCGCAAGGUUGAAACUUAAAGGAAUUGGCGGGGGAGCAC
rnacentral:rRNA from 1 species